rnacentral:lncRNA from 1 species
CUGCUCCGCUCAAAUGUCAAGGUCGCUGAGUUCUGCGAAUCUUUCAGGUUUCAGAGACGGAGAGAGAAGACCCGGCCGAGACUGAGAAGGUGCAACACUGGGUCGAGCAACUUUGUCAAACGCGACUGGAGCAGAUCUCCUGUGUCGAAAAUGACUCUCCCGAGAUUUCGCCCCCGCGCUCCCCGGCAUCUGAGCCAAAGGUAAAGCGGUUUGCUGGAGGGUUCAACUUGGCCACCACAGAUCUUGACGACAUCAACCUGGACGAGGUGGACCAGAGCCUGAGGGGCCCUCAGAUCAGACUGGCUCCCACUCAGCCCAGUUCCAACCAGCCUCCUCCCCCACUGCCCCUGCCUCCUCCCGCUCCCAAACUCAUCCCCGCCAGUGCUCCCAGCUACUCCCCUCAGCGCCGCCCCACAUCUCCCCCGUCCAGAGGAAAGUGCCUUCGGUUCCCUCCACUCUCACCAACAGGGGGCGCAAACCUCCGACAAAACAGCAAUCCCGUGCUCCCUUCUCCCAAUACCCUGGCGGUUCCCAUGCGUCCCGAAUGACCCGCCCGCCUUCAUCUCCCCAGCCGGCACCUCGCCCCACACCGCCGCCUCCACCACCCCCUCCCCCGCCCCCUCCUCCGCCUCCUCCACCCCCACCACAGCAGCACAAAGGCAGAGAGCCCCCCAUCGGCCGUACCGUCAGCUUGAACAGACCCACCCCCCUUUGCCGACGCCCAGCCCCUCUGAGCGCAGGAGCGAGUGGGAGACAGGCGGCUACCUCCCACGAGGAGGCAUCUACUCCUCCAACAACAGUGAGGUGUCCUACCCCUCAAGCCCCAAGGUAAUGAGAAAUACCUCCCAUGCGAGUCGUGUUUCAGCAACAAGUAAACCGUUGCAACUGGCCCCAAGCCCCCCCAACCAGCGUCGCCAGACAAACCCGAUGUCCAAGCCCGUCAUGCUUCCACAGUCACAGACGAACCGGCCAGACAUCCACAGAACUGCAGUCCGCUCGGAUGGUUUGGUAUGAUACAACAGAUCAUUGAGUUUUCUUUAAAAAUAAUCUCACAGUGGGGUAGAACACAGCAUGCAGAUAAAUGGCUGGAGCUCAGCGAGGCUUCUAGACUCUCCAGCUGUUUUCAUCAAUGACAACCGGGGAUACUUGAUCACACCAUAGUGAGGCCAUCUGUCGUCUGUCAGCAAAGUUUCCUUUAUAAAAUUUAAACAUGAGCCGCAGUGUAGCUCAGAUGUUACUACAGCGUGUUUCAGUGUGGUUUAAUUCUUACACACAAUUGUCUG